rnacentral:rRNA from 1 species
UGCCUUAGUAACGGCGAGUGAAGCGGCAAUAGCUCAAAUUUGAAAGCUGGCCCCUUCGGGGUCCGCGUUGUAAUUUGUAGAGGAUGAUUCGGCGAGGGCUCCCGUCUAAGUCCCUUGGAACAGGGCGUCAUAGAGGGUGAGAAUCCCGUAUGUGAUGGGCUGCCUUAGCCAUGUGAAUCUCCUUCGACGAGUCGAGUUGUUUGGGAAUGCAGCUCUAAAUGGGAGGUAAAUUUCUUCUAAAGCUAAAUACCGGCCAGAGACCGAUAGCGCACAAGUAGAGUGAUCGAAAGAUGAAAAGCACUUUGGAAAGAGAGUUAAAAAGUACGUGAAAUUGUUGAAAGGGAAGCGCUUGCAGCCAGACUUGUCCGCAGUUGCUCAGCCUGUCUCCUGACAGGCGUACUCUUCUGCGGCCAGGCCAGCAUCAGUUCGGGCGGUCGGAUAAAGACCCGGGGAAUGUAGCUCCUCUCGGGGAGUGUUAUAGCCCUGGGUGCAAUGCGGCCAGCCUGGACUGAGGAUCUCGCUUCGGCUAGGAUGCUGGCGUAAUGGCUGUAAGCGGCCCGUCUUGAAACACGGACCAAGGAGUCUAACAUCUAUGCGAGUGUUUGGGUGUCAAACCCAUGCGCGUAAUGAAAGUGAACGGAGGUGGGAACCCUCACGGGUGCACCAUCGACCGAUCCUGAUGUCUUCGGAUGGAUUUGAGUAAGAGCAUAGCUGUUGGGACCCGAAAGAUGGUGAACUAUGCCUGAAUAGGGUGAAGCCAGAGGAAACUCUGGUGGAGGCUCGCAGCGGUUCUGACGUGCAAAUCGAUCGUCAAAUUUGGGUAUAGGGGCGAAAGACUAAUCGAACCAUCUAG